rnacentral:misc_RNA from 1 species
GAUGAAGAACGCAGCGAAAUGCGAUAAGUAAUGUGAAUUGCAGAAUUCAGUGAAUCAUCGAAUCUUUGAACGCACAUUGCGCCCAUUAGCAUUCUAGUGGGCAUGCCUGUUCGAGCGUCAUUUCAACCCUUAAGCCCUGUUGCUUAGCAUUGGGAGCCUACAGUACUGUAGCUCCCCAAAGUUAGUGGCGGAGUCGGUUUCACACUCUAGACGUAGUAAUUUUUUCUCGUCUGUAGUUGAGCCGGUCCCCUGCCGUAAAACACCCAAUUUAUCAAGGUUGACCUCGGAUCAGGUAGGAAUACCCGCUGAACUUAAGCAUAUCAAUAAGCGGAGGA